GAGUAGGCUGGAGCACUCAUGAUGGCCCACUCAUAUGACUGGUGGCUGGUUCUGACUGUCACCUGGCAGUUCAUCUGGGACUGUUGACUAGAACACCUUGGUUCUCCACAUAUCUUCUCCCUAUGGGCUGGACUCCUUGUUGUCUCAGCUCCACAGGGGGACUAAGACUGAAGCUAGAAGAUACCAAAAAAUUCAUCAACUGAGUUGGAAAAACAUCAGUCAGACUCUUGGCUGAAUCCCCUGUCUACAAGAUAGAAUGACUUCUGCUUCUUCCACCUUGUUUGGAUUUGCCUACAACACAGCACAUUAUGACAACCUAUGUUCAUUAGGCUGUCUCCAAGAAUGUUGACACAGGUUACAUCUAUUCCAUGGAAAACUAACUGGCUUAAAGCAAAAUUUUAGGUUAAUAAAAUUAUCUACAGAAUGA